CCUCCACGUGACCUUCGCUUCUUAUUGUCUCCCUUUCCGGUUCCAAAUAUUUCUCCCUGCUUCCGCCCCUUCUAGGGCAAAGGAAGCCAUAGAGAUAGAUUAGAGACUACAGUGACAGGCGGCCUGGAUCUCUGCAAAGACAUGAGUGGGGGGCCAGGAGGCAAGAGCCCAUCUUCAUUUCUUGUCCCAAGGCCUACUCCAACCUUCUUGCACCCUUAAUCUUUCCUCUCUCCUGGAAGCAGUAGCAGCAGAAGAAUAGAAAAUGAGCAGAUGGAUGAAGUUCAAGUUUUCCUGCAUGGACACUGACAAGCUUCCCACAGUCAAUUGGCAAUGGAAAGGGGAGGGUUGGUCAAACUGACCAAGUUUUCCAUGCAUGCUUCUAUACAAGAAAGCUUAAAAUGCGUACAACUCUAUGUGAAAAGUAGUGGGUGAAAGAUGAAACUUCCAGAGGGAUAAUGCCGAAAAGUUGAAGUGAUUAAAAAUCUAUAUUCUCAUGGCCAUCAGUCUAUUAAAAAAUCUGGCACAAGCACAUUUAAACCUGCGUUUGUGUUUCCAACUUGUACAUGCGAGAGAGGCUUAAAAAUAUAAAUGAAAUAUUUCCUAUAAAAGCAGCAACCAAAACGUGACAGUAAAUAAGGAGCUCCCAUGUCUGCUACAUACAUGGAGAAGGGAUUGCAUGAUAGCUGAUGUACAAUCCACUAGUGAAACACAUCUUAAAGACUUUUUCCUACAACAUGAGAAAUUACAACUUUACUGGAUUGUAAAGCAUGUAUUUUGAGUUCAAACAAACAUAUGUGGAGGUAGAGAGACUAGUGCUCUAGCAGACCAAAAGCAGACCCAAGUACUGUCUAAAAGGAGAGGAUAAAAGGGAUGUUUUAGAGGGUCUCCAGACAGGGAUUUAUUCCAUCCUGACUAGUAAUUCCUAUGGGCAAUGUUGCUGGUUAGCUAGAUGACACAAAAUCCUUCCCAGAAUUUUUGUCCAUUAAUAGCUGUCCAAUCUGUGAGACCUUUUCAAACUACCUCCCAGCAUCUUUCUUUUAAGCACAGGUAACAUAUUUUACUAUUAUUGACACAUUACUAUAGACACAUGUUAUAUUCACAUGAUCCAUUUGCAAUUUCUUUACUCUUCAGAGAGAUUGGGAGAUCAGGCAGAUAGCAUAGAGAGAUGUCAGAAAGUCAAGUGCCAGAAUAAGAAGGAAAUUGUGUUCUCAAGAGGAGAAUAAAUGCAUGUUCACUCAGAAGUAAGUCCCACUGUUCAAUAGGGCUUAUUCCCAGUUGCAGAUGUCUUUUAAAAUGAAAGGUUCCAUGAGAGGAAACAAUGUCCAGAUAAACAGAUACACACAUCAAAUGAUCGCUGCUUUCAUUUGCUGGCUUUCAGAAAAAACCCUGUGUUCUUGUAUUGCACUGGUCUUGUUUAACACCAGUGCAACAGCAUUCCUAAGCUUUUCCUUUAACAUCAAACACCUCCCCCCGCCCCAAUGAAGUGGUGAUUUCAGACUUUUCUGUGAUAUAGUGGGUGUAUGGAAGAAGUGUAUUUAAAAGCAACAAUUUAUUGAAAUAUUGGGGAACUCCAGUCUUGGAAUUUCAGUACAGCAGAACAAAUUCCAUGGGCAAGUGUGAAUCUCAGGCAGUUCAAUAUACCUGUAGAGCACUACUGUGCAACAAAAAAAUAAAAAGCAAUGUCCUGGCUUUCUACACAUGCACAUAGAAAGCACCUUAGGGACAGUGACUCAGGGAGGGUCUGCAAUUUGCAAAGGGGGUGGGGGAGAACACAAGUUGCAAGGUCUGCUCCGGUGCAGACAGAAAAAAGUGGGAAGAACUCUCACAAGAACUGCUUAGAUGUGGAUGCCCAAGAAUGACUCUGGCGAACUGAAGCUCCUGCAAAAAUAACCCACUCUCUGUAAGUUACCCUAAAAUGUGCACCAGAGAAGGAAGAGGAACCACUUCCACAAUGGGCAACUUUACAUGUUUAAAGAGAAAACAUUUGCUCUCAUCAGCUAUGGACAAUAUACACGAACUUCUCUAUAUAUUAUACAAACCAUUAAUGGAUAUGUUAGAAUUUCAUAAAAUGGCAAGAUACAAUGAAUGGAUCAUGAGUCUGCUAAAAAGAUGACACAUAUUUGGUAUGCUGUUCUUAUUUGUGGGUACAAUAUUAAAAUAUUCUCUUUCCACACUUCAAAAUUAUGUUGUGAUGUAGUCCUUUCUUAUUUUUUAGGCUUGACUAUGACAAGCUUUUGGGAUUGCCUCUCUUACAGAUAGCUACAACAGUCUCUAAAGCUUGACUCCCCAGCCACAUGCAUUGCUAAGUCUGAGCUGGAAUCUAGAAAAUUAGUUUACUCCCAUCAAUUUAAACUGAACCUGAUCAGUUUUAAACAAAAUAACACUUAUUUAAGCUUGGGGCUUAUUCUAUUCCUAUACGGUAGUAUUCUGAAUGUGUUAACUGUUAUAUAACUGAUUGGGGAAACAUGAACUUUAUUAAACAAAAUUAAAUUUACAAUUGCUGUGCUUAACAAUUCAGUUAUAAAAAAUACAUGAAUUCUUAAUAAAGCUUUGCUUAAAAUAUCUGUUGCAACUGUGAUAAGCCUUAAUUCAGCACUGACCAUUUAAAGGCAAUAAAAACUCCCACAGAAUUUCCAUACCAGAAUGUUUUAUUCACUACCAUCAAUUUGAGCUUUGUGGCCUCUUGCUUAUUUGAUUGUUGAUGUCUGUUUGUGAUAUUUACCCUUCAAGACUAAUAAAGGCUAUCAGUCAUUCUUGACAAGCA